UGACUAUCAACCAGACUACUCAAAUGCUCCUGCCAGCAAGACCCCAGUCAGGAGUCAGAAUGGGAGGUUCACGGGUGAAGACCACUGGGGUUCUACUCUGUCUGUGUUACUGUAUCAACACUGGAAUUUCAGAUGAUCUCUCUGGUCCAAAGUGUGGUCUUCCACAGAUCAGGAACCUCCUUGACCGCUCUUUGAGAAUCGUUGGAGGGUUGGAGGCAAGAUAUGGAUCCC